rnacentral:rRNA from 1 species
AGUUUGAUCCUGGCUCAGGAUGAACGCUGGCGGCAUGCCUAAUACAUGCAAGUCGAACGAGGGUCCUUCGGGACUCGAGUGGCGAACGGGUGAGUAACACGUAGGGAACCUGCCCGUGCGACCGGGAGAACUUUCGGAAACGGAAGCUGAUACCGGAUAGGGACAGAGACGGCAUCGACUCUGUGUUAAAGGAGCUGAAAGGCUCCGCGCACGGAUGGACCUGCGGUGCAUUAGCUGGUUGGUGAGGUAACGGCCCACCAAGGCGACGAUGCAUAGCCGGCCUGAGAGGGCGGACGGCCACACUGGGACUGAGACACGGCCCAGACUCCUACGGGAGGCAGCAGUAGGGAAUUUUCGUCAAUGGGCGCAAGCCUGAACGAGCAAUGCCGCGUGAACGAGGAAGGUCUUCGGAUCGUAAAGUUCUGUUGAAGGGGAAAAAGAGCGGAGAGAGGAAAUGGUCUCCGAUUGAUAUUACCCUUCGAGGAAGUCACGGCUAACUACGUGCCAGCAGCCGCGGUAAUACGUAGGUGGCGAGCGUUAUCCGGAAUGAUUGGGCGUAAAGGGUGCGUAGGCGGCCUGCUAAGUCUGGAGUGAAAGGUACCGGCUCAACCGGUACAGGCUCUGGAAACUGGCGGGCUAGAGAGCAGGAGAGGGCGGUGGAACUCCAUGUGUAGCGGUAAAAUGCGUAGAUAUAUGGAAGAACACCAGUGGCGAAGGCGGCCGCCUGGCCUGUUACUGACGCUGAGGCACGAAAGCGUGGGGAGCAAAUAGGAUUAGAUACCCUAGUAGUCCAUGCCGUAAACGAUGAGGACCAAGUGUUGGGGAAGACCCAGUGCUGCAGUUAACGCAGUGAGUCCUCCGCCUGGGGAGUAUGCACGCAAGUGUGAAACUCAAAGGAAUUGACGGGGGCCCGCACAAGCGGUGGAGUAUGUGGUUUAAUUCGAAGCAACGCGAAGAACCUUACCAGGCCUUGACAUAGGGUGCGAAGCUAUGGAGACAUAGUGGAGGUAAACAUCCAUACAGGUGGUGCAUGGUUGUCGUCAGCUCGUGUCGUGAGAUGUUCAGUUAAGUCUGGCAACGAGCGCAACCCUCGUGAUGUGUUACCAAUAUCGAGUUAGGGACUCACAUCAGACUGCCGGUGAGAAACCGGAGGAAGGCGGGGAUGACGUCAAAUCAUCAUGCCCCUUAUGGCCUGGGCUACACACGUACUACAAUGGCGGCGACAGAGGGCAGCGAGCCUGCGAAGGCAAGCGAAUCCCAAAAAAGCCGUCCCAGUUCGGAUUGGAGUCUGCAACCCGACUCCAUGAAGUUGGAAUCGCUAGUAAUCGCGGAUCAGUAUGCCGCGGUGAAUACGUUCUCGGGCCUUGCACACACCGCCCGUCAA